rnacentral:lncRNA from 1 species
UUUACCACCUUUCGGGUGUCGGAUUUACAUGAAACUUUAAAUCUAGCCUCAUAAAAAUAAUUCCGACAUAUUCUCCAAUUUUCAUAAUUUUCUGACACUGUGUAUUUUCUGCUAAAAUAUCAGCUCCGUUUCUCACAGAAAAUUCUAAAUCUUCUGUUUUAGUUCCGAUUUCAGCAUGAGUCGUUUCCGACUUAUAUUUUACUUUUCUAAAUCCAAUAAAAAUAGUAUCUCACACUAUUUUUAUUUAUUUAUUUAUUUUAACUUUUAUAUUAAAACCUGAUAUGUUACAAGC